ACGAUAUUUGAACGAACCAAUAACUAAAGCUUUGACGAGCUGAACGAAACAUCCUUAUAUCGCUAAUGAAUCGUGCAUUCAUGGAUGAUACAC